rnacentral:rRNA from 1 species
AAACCAGCACCUCAAGUGGUCAGGAGGAUUAUUGGGCCUAAAGCAUCCGUAGCCUGUUCUAUAAGUUUCCGGUUAAAUCCACUAGCUCAACUAGUGGGCUGCCGAAAAUACUGUAGAACUAGGGAGUGCGAGAGGUAGACGGUAUUCGGUAGGAAGGGGUAAAAUCCUUUGAUCUAUUGAGGACCACCUGUGGCGAAGGCGGUCUACCAGAACACGUUCGACGGUGAGGGAUGAAAGCUGGGGGAGCAAACCGAAUUAGAAACCCGAGUAGUCC